rnacentral:rRNA from 1 species
GUGCCAGCAGCCGCGGUAAGACGAACUGCCCAAACGUUGUUCGGAAUCACUGGGCUUAAAGGGCGCGUAGGCGGGCAUAAAAGUCAGGGGUGAAAUCCGGCAGCUUAACUGUCGAAGUGCCUUUGAUACUGUAUGUCUUGAGGGAGGUAGGGGUCCGUGGAACUUCUGGUGGAGCGGUGAAAUGCGUUGAUAUCAGAAGGAACGCCGGUGGCGAAAGCGACGGACUGGAUCUUUUCUGACGCUGAGGCGCGAAAGCUAGGGGAGCAAACGGGAUUAGAUACCCCAGUAGUCC